UACGUAGGGUGCGAGCGUUGUCCGGAAUUACUGGGCGUAAAGAGCUCGUAGGUGGUUUGUCGCGUUGUUCGUGAAAUUCCCUGGCUUAACUGGGGGCGUGCGGGCGAUACGGGCAGACUGGAGUACUGCAGGGGAGACUGGAAUUCCUGGUGUAGCGGUGGAAUGCGCAGAUAUCAGGAGGAACACCGGUGGCGAAGGCGGGUCUCUGGGCCUUACCUGACGCUGAGGAGCGAAAGCGUGGGGAGCGAACAGG
rnacentral:rRNA from 1 species